AGUGGCCUGGACCUGUCCCAAGGUAGCCAGCUGGAGGAACCUCUUAAAGUGGUACAAAGACAGCUCUGGUAUCUGUUCCUGUGCAGAUUCCMUGGUUCCAUGAUAUGGAUAUCUUUCCACUGCGACUGAAAAGGUGGGUCUCUGGCCUAUAUGUUAUUCAGCACCACCCUGUGACAAGUAAUUCUUAAUCUUUAGUUAAUUGAUCUGGAUUCCAGUAAGAUUCCAGUAAGAAACUUAAG